rnacentral:rRNA from 1 species
AUUGAACGCUGGCGGAAUGCUUUACACAUGCAAGUCGAACGGCAGCACGGACUUCGGUCUGGUGGCGAGUGGCGAACGGGUGAGUAAUGUAUCGGAACGUGCCCAGUCGUGGGGGAUAACGUAGCGAAAGCUACGCUAAUACCGCAUACGAUCUACGGAUGAAAGCGGGGGAUCGCAAGACCUCGCGCGAUUGGAGCGGCCGAUAUCAGGUUAGGUUGUGGGGGAGGUAAAAGCUCACCAAGCCUGCGAUCUGUAGCUGGUCUGAGAGGACGACCAGCCACACUGGAACUGAGACACGGUCCAGAAUCCUACGGGAGGCAGCAGUGGUGAAUUUUGGACAAUGGACGCAAGUCUGAUCCAGCAAUGCCGCGUGCAGGACGAAGGCCUUCGGGUUGUAAACUGCUUUUGUACGGAACGAAACGGUGAGCUCUAAUACAGUUUGCUAAUGACGGUACCGUAAGAAUAAGCACCGGCUAACUACGUGCCAGCCGCCGCCGUAA